UUAAUACUCCCUCCGUCCAAAAAAGGAUGUCUCAACUUUGACCAAAUUUGAAUGCAUUUUCUAGAUACAUUCAAAUUUUGACAAACUUGUGACAUUUUUUGUUGGACGGAGUAAAUACUAA
rfam:Brachypodium distachyon strain Bd21 chromosome 3, whole genome shotgun sequence.